rnacentral:rRNA from 1 species
CACGUAGGGUGCGAGCGUUAUCCGGAGUUACUGGGCGUAAAGGGCGUGUAGGUGGUUGCGUAAGUCUGGCGUGAAAUUUUUCGGCUUAACCGGGAAAGGUCGUCGGAUACUGCGUAGCUAGAGGACGGUAGAGGCGUGUGGAAUUCCGGGUGUAGUGGUGAAAUGCGUAGAGAUCCGGAGGAACACCAGUGGCGAAGGCGACACGCUGGGCCGUACCUGACACUGAUGCGCGACAGCAUGGGAGCAACAGG